rnacentral:rRNA from 1 species
AUGGCGUCGAGGGCUGCGACGAUGGUGGCGCUGCUGCUCGCGGCGGUGGCGGCGACGUGCGCGCGGGCGCAGCUGCACGAGAAGUUCUACGGCGAGUCGUGCCCCAGCGUGGAGGACGUCGUGAGGAAGGAGAUGGUGAGGGCGCUGUCACUGGCGCCCAGCCUCGCCGGACCGCUCCUCCGGAUGCACUUCCACGACUGCUUCGUCAGGGGGUGCGACGGCUCGGUUCUGCUGGACUCGGCCAACAAGACGGCGGAGAAGGCCUGCCCCGACACCGUCUCCUGCGCCGACAUCCUCGCCCUCAUUGCCAGGGACGCAGUAUGGCUGAGCAAGGGUCCAUUCUGGACAGUUCCUCUCGGCCGCCGAGACGGCAGCGUGUCCAUUUCCAACGAGACCGACGCUCUGCCACCCCCGACCUCCAACUUCUCCGUGCUCACCCAGCUCUUCGCCGCCGUGAACCUCGACGCAAAGGACCUUGUCGUCUUGUCCGCCGGGCACACCAUCGGGACGUCACACUGCUUCUCCUUCUCCGACCGGCUCUACAACUUCACCGGCAUGGAGAACCCCAGCGACAUCGACCCCACGCUGGAGCCGCAGUACAUGAUGCGGCUAAAGAGCAAGUGUGUCAGCCUCAACGACAACACCACCCUCGUGGAGAUGGACCCCGGCAGCUUCAAGACCUUCGACACCGACUACUUCAAGCUGGUGAGCAAGCGGAGGGGCCUCUUCCACUCCGACGGCGCCCUCCUCACCGACCCCUUCACCCGCGCCUACGUCCAGCGCCAUGCCACCGGCGCCUUCAAGGACGAGUUCUUUGCUGACUUCGCCGCCUCCAUGAUCAAGAUGGGCAACGCCAACCCGCUCAUCGGAAGCCAGGGCGAGAUCAGGAAGAAGUGCAACGUGGUUAACCAUUAA